ensembl:snRNA U6 U6 spliceosomal RNA
GUGCUCACUUUGGUGGCACAUAGAGUGAAAUCAGAAUGAGACAGAGAUUAGCAUGGCCCCUGCAUUAGGAUGACAUGCAAAUUUGUGAAGAGUUCCAUAGUUUU